GGAUCCCGGAGAGGGGGAGCCGCGGGGACGCAGCGACAGACUCGGGGUGCUGGCAGCGGCAGCCCACGCCUCCCAGGGAUUGCAGGCCUGGGCGCCGGGGUUGGACCAGUCUCCCGGGCAUGGCACGCCCUGGUUAUUCUGUACCCGUGAUUUGUGGCGGGGCAAGACGUUAAGUUGGGUGACACCGAGGUGAGCCACGGUCCUCGGCACCAGAUGAGGAACCACUGUCUCAAUAAGUGACACCAGUGAUGCUGUUAAACAAGGACAAUCCGGUUCAUGGAUUGUGACAACGCACGCUGACAUCAAGCAGACCCUGCCGUCAGCUGAGUGCCAUGAGAGGACAGUGACAACCUUGGGGCCUCAUGGUGAAGGUGGCAGAAACUUUGUUAGCCUGGGUGCUCAGGGUGGACAGCUGCUCUUGCCAACCGGGAACAUUUGCCUUGAGCUCUUUUGUAAGUGACAGAUAAGCUUUUAUUGUACUUCAGCCAAGAUACAAACAUUGGACGUAUUUGUACAGCAGCUAAAGGUACUAUAAUAAUACAUAUUCUGAAAUCACUAUGUACCCUAAAAUAUUUUAACAAAAUUCUUGCAAUAUUUGUAUGAGAACUGCUGGAUUUUGCUUUCUUACCAAAUUUGCUGUUGCUACUGAAAAAAGAGAAUAACUUGGACAAUGAAAUGAUCUCAAAUGAGGUAAUAAAAUCAUUACUGAAUUU
rnacentral:lncRNA from 1 species